rnacentral:rRNA from 1 species
CAGUCGCCACGGGAAUACAGAGGGUGCGAGCGUUAAUCGGAUUUACUGGGCGUAAAGCGUGCGUAGGCGGCUUUUUAAGUCGGAUGUGAAAUCCCUGAGCUUAACUUAGGAAUUGCAUUCGAUACUGGGAAGCUAGAGUAUGGGAGAGGAUGGUAGAAUUCCAGGUGUAGCGGUGAAAUGCGUAGAGAUCUGGAGGAAUACAGAUGGCGAAGGCAGCCAUCUGGCCUAAUACUGACGCUGAGGUACGAAAGCAUGGGGAGCAAACAGGAUUAGAUACCCCGGUAGUCCCUGUCUCUUAUAC